CCGACCAAGAGAUGAAGCCGACCAAGAGAUGAAACCGACCAAGAGAUGAAACCGACCAAGUCGCCUGAAUCGGAGUUAGCUAUGUCUGCGUGGCCAAUGAAUGAACGACCAAGUCGGACAGGAAGCACCAAGAAGCAAGCGUCCUUAUCGAUCACACUUGCAACUUUAGUUAAGCAUAACGUUCAACAAAAUUU